AAUAAUCUUUUAUGAAUUUAUUGGUUUUACUUUACAUUUACUAAUUUUAUGUGUAAUUUUCAUUACGGCAUUAUCGAUAGAAUUUUCCUUGAAAUAAUUAAUCGAAUCCACAAUAAAAUUCUUACUACUUAACUUACUUGAUAAAUUAUUUUAAUUGCCAACGGCUAUGCAGCUUUGUUUGAAUAAAGCCCUUUUGCAUGGUUCCAGUACGUGGAAAUUUGUCACAGAAAUUUUGUAACUUAAUUGAUAUGAAAAUUUGUUUAAUAUUAUCAAGUGAAUUAUUAAUAAUGAUUAAAACUUAUUAUCAUACUCAAGUAUACAUUAGCAAGAAAUUUUGUACGAACAUCUGCAAUUGAGCCUGACCCAUAAAAAUUGUUAACUCUAUAUUUUUUCAGUUAUAUUAAUUAUUGGUUAAUUAGACACUGAUCUGCAUGGACCCUCAUGGAUAAGUCUCUCGUUAAUGUGCUCUGUAGUUGCACGAAAAAUCCAUGACCACGCUUUUGGCAUUCAAAAUCAUCACCAAAGGAACGUAAAAAGUCAACGCAAGAUAAGACCAUCUUGGGAAGUAUAUUAAUUUUAUUAUACGUAAGAGGUCUCCCAUUUGCAUGCAUAAAGGUUGAAAAUUACAAAUGACACACCGGAGAUUUGAUUGACACACACAUCAACAAUCCAUAUGCAUGAAAAUGACAAGAACUUAAUUUUCUGUUUCUACGCGUGGCAGUUUAUUUUUCUUAAAAAACAAAGAUAAAAGAGAAUAAAACGCAGCAACUCGAUUGAUCGCUAUCUUGCUCCAAGUAAGCCUUCCAUCAAACCCUUGCUUUCUUUAUUCGGAUACCAUUCGCCUCUCCUACAAGAACAAAUUAAUCAAUCUCUUUUAUUUGUCACUUAAUCAAUAGGAACGCAAUUAAACAGAACACGGUGCUUAAAAUUGAAAUGCUUAAUGUAAUUCUGAACUACUAGUCUUUACAUGUACAGUUUUAAAAAUAAAUGAGAUUACCAUAAAAGCAUGAGCUAUUCAUGGCCGCUUUCUAGUAGUAGUAAGGAGGAGGGGGAGAUGCAUAGACGUAAGGGUGAGGUGGUGGUGGGGACUUGGGGACAGGAGGUGGCGGGGAAUAGGAAAUUGGAGUUGGUGCCGGAGCAGGCACGUAGACUGGUGGAGGAGGUGGCGGGGGCAGGUAAACAGGGGGUGGUGGUGGAGAAUUGUGAACCGGUGGCGGGGGUGGUGGAGACUUGUACUUGGGAGGGGGAGGAGAUGUGUAGUAGUAUUUGUUUGCGGAGGCUUCUAACGGCAAGUAGCUAAGAGAGACUGAUACUACCAAAAGAGUGGCAAAGAGGCAGCCCAUUUGAGACCCCAUCGUUCANNN
rnacentral:lncRNA from 1 species